CCCUCCCCUCCCCUCCCCUCUCCCCUCCCCAGCUCUUGCACAAACGCGACCCGGACCGCUAAGUGCGUGCCACAGGUCACGAAAAAUGGGAAAUAAAGUUUGAAGCUCCUGGAGCCGUCCUCCCCACCACCACCACCACCACCCGCUCCCCUGCUCGAGGGCUGCAGGGGGCACGACCCGCGCGCUCCUCCCUUCCCUCCAGGGUCGGCCUUCGUGGGAGCUGCCACGCGCUAGGCCUCUGCUGUGGAAUCUGGCUCAGCUGCUGCACCAGCUUCUGCAAGUGCGCGUGUCAGGACCGGGGCGGCGGGCAGAGCCGGUCCUGGCCUCCCGGGGCAGCCCCUCUGCAGGGCCGAGCCGGCCUCCAGGCGACACCUGCCUCCGCAAGGCGUCAAGGCUGCAGCAAGGAGGCCCGCGUGCGUGCGCUAGGGACGGCCUUCCCCUCCCUUGCAGGCCUCCUCUGGGGCCGCCGCCGUGCUCCUUUCCUACCAAAUACAGGUGCUCCUCCUUUCCUACCAGAUGCAAGUGCUCCUUUCCCACCAAAUACAAGUGCUCCUUUCCUACCAGAUGCAAGCGCCUUUCCUACCAGAUGCAACUGCUCCUUUCCUACCAAAUGAAAGUGCUCCUUUCCCACCAGAUGCAAGUGCUCCUUUCCCACCAGAUGCAAGCGCCUUUCCUAUCAGAUGCAAGUGCUCCUUUCCUACCAGAUACAAGUAUCACAAAAGAAUUGGAGUGAUUGAAGUUAUGAUAGACAUUGUUAAGGACCAUGAGAUUACCCCCAGAGAAGCUGACCACCCCACAGUUUCUUCCUUUGGUAUAGUGACCAAAUUCUCCAAACCAAAACUCAGGACACAUGGCUUGCCGCAUACUCAAGAACAAAGGGACAAACCCCAUGAAGGUGAAAUGAGCUAAUAAAAUCUGCUCAUAUGCUGGGCAGCCAUUGGUUUAGGGGGUGUGAAGAGCAGGCUGGGUGGGUGAGAGCUAUAGAUAAUCUCAGACCGCCAGUUAACUAUUGAUUUCACCCACCACUUCCAACCCUUUUCUGAGCUGCUCCCAAACAGCCUAAUUAACUGAUCUGAAUUUCAGCUUCUUCCCUUUUCUCCUUAGCCCUUGAAUAAUAAGCAGCGAAAUGGCCAAAGGCAGACUAGGGGAGCAGAAAAGAAAGGCCGUGAACUAUGUGCAAAACUAAGACCAUGCCAAAAAAAAAAAAAAAAAAACAAAAACAAAAACAAAACCCACAACCCUUAAAUUUUAGAUUUUUUUUUCUAAAAAUCCAUUUUAGAUUUAUUCUCUCUAGAUAACUUCUGGAUGAUAUUUCUUAUUUCUAAACUUAUGCUAACUGCUGGAUGAUAUUUCUCUCCAGAUAACUUCUGGAUGAUAUUUCUGAUUUCUAAACUUAUGUUAAUGGCCUACUUGUGCUGAGCAAUCCCCUGCAAGGUGGUGGGGAGUAACAGCCGAGGAAAACUAGGCCACGAGGAAUUCAGUCUGGCAAGAGUCUAGCGAGCUGGGCAUUGCGUUACAGUGUGGCGUGGCGUGGUAGGGUAGGCCGAGCAAGUGCGGGCCAGGAGCCCCUAUGGCAAUACGGACAGGUUUUCCAGAAGAAGUCACAGCCUAGCAGAUUCUUGAAGGACAGCCAUCCCUGGUGUGUCGUUCCACUUUUCCUCUGGGAAAAUGAUCCAAUCAGAGAAAGACCGGUAGAGGCUCUCCACAGCACCUCGCCUUCGUCCUGCAGAGAUCAUCCAUGAAGCCUCAAGAACUUCAUGUUGGUGGUUCCUGUAGUUCAGGGCGGGAGAUCUUCCGCAGGCACUCACAGGUAAAAACGAGACCACUACCACAUAUCUGGACCAAGAAACCGUCGGUGCCCCCAGCCGAGACGGAGGCGAAUGCAGUCCUGGACUGGAGACGACGCUCAGUAAGCCGGUACUCUUCCGGGACCUGUCUGCACCUGCUCCCCAAAGGGGGCCAUCCCAGUAGAAGCUUCGCUGUUCCUCACCUUUCCACCACGUGGUCACUGCUUCAUUUCCAUGAGGAAUCCCUUCUUUCCAGCUUCACUUAAUCUCAUCGCCCUCCACCACUGCCCUCUUUCCAGGCCACCCUGCUCUACCCUCUUGACACCCACCAACCACCAAAUCUGUCCCUCACGUGGCAUUUCAAUUUCCUUGGCACCUCAAACUAAAGUAUUAGCUCAUUCCUUUAUUAUCCUUCGUAGUGAUAUAUUUAAACCCAAACUUAUUGCCCCCAAAUGACUUCAGGUCCCUCCAUUCCUAAAUGUUGUGAAGCUAAAAUGGUUUUACAUGGAAAACAUUUUAAACAAGUCACCGCAUUCAUUCUUCAGAGGUCUUUCAAGGCAUCCUAUCACGUCUCAGUGAAGGUCAUGUAAAGCCUCUCUCACUGGACUCUUAAUUCUAGGAAACAAACAGGGUGGCGGCGGGAGGGGAGGUAGGUAGGGGUGAUGGGGUUUUGGGGUGAGGGCCAUGAAGAAGGGCACGUGACGUAAGGAGCCUGGGUGUUGCGUGCAACUGAGGAAUCCCUAAAUUCCACCCCCGAAACUAAAAAUACGAUGUAUGUAUGUUAACUAAAUUGAAUUUAAAUUAAAAUUUAAAGAAAAUAAAUAAAAAGUAAAAAUAAAACCUCUCUCA
rnacentral:lncRNA from 1 species